rnacentral:tRNA from 1 species
GGGGCUAUAGCUCAGUGGCAGAGCACUUGCCUAGCAUGUAUGAGGCAUUAGGUUCAAACCUCAGCACCA